GAUGAACGCUGGCGGCGUGCCUAAUACAUGCAAGUAGAACGCUGAAGGAGGAGCUUGCUCUUCUGGAUGAGUUGCGAACGGGUGAGUAACGCGUAGGUGACCUGCCUGGUAGCGGGGGAUAACUAUUGGAAACGAUAGCUAAUACCGCAUGACAACAGUUAUUGCAUGAUAACUGUUUAAAAGGGGCAACUGCUCCACUACCAGAUGGACCUGCGUUGUAUUAGCUAGUUGGUGAGGUAACGGCUCACCAAGGCGACGAUACAUAGCCGACCUGAGAGGGUGAUCGGCCACACUGGGACUGAGACACGGCCCAGACUCCUACGGGAGGCAGCAGUAGGGAAUCUUCGGCAAUGGACGGAAGUCUGACCGAGCAACGCCGCGUGAGUGAAGAAGGUUUUCGGAUCGUAAAGCUCUGUUGUAAGAGAAGAACGAGUGUGAGAGUGGAAAGUUCACACUGUGACGGUAUCUUACCAGAAAGGGACGGCUAACUACGUG
rnacentral:rRNA from 1 species